AUUGAACGCUGGCGGCAGGCUUAACGCAUGCAAGUCGAACGAUGAAACUCUAGCUUGCUAGAGAAGAUUAGUGGCGGACGGGUGAGUAACAUUUAGGAAUCUGCCUAGUAGUGGGGGAUAGCUCGGGGAAACUCGAAUUAAUACCGCAUACGACCUACGGGUGAAAGGGGGCGCAAGCUCUUGCUAUUAGAUGAGCCUAAAUCAGAUUAGCUAGUUGGUGGGGUAAGGGCCCACCAAGGCGACGAUCUGUAACUGGUCUGAGAGGAUGAUCAGUCACACCGGAACUGAGACACGGUCCGGACUCCUACGGGAGGCAGCAGUGGGGAAUAUUGGACAAUGGGGGCAACCCUGAUCCAGCCAUGCCGCGUGUGUGAAGAAGGCCUUUUGGUUGUAAAGCACUUUAAGCAGGGAGGAGAGGCUAAUGGUUAAUACCCAUUAGAUUAGACGUUACCUGCAGAAUAAGCACCGGCUAACUCUGUGCCAGCAGCCGCGGUAAUACAGAGGGUGCGAGCGUUAAUCGGAAUUACUGGGCGUAAAGCGAGUGUAGGUGGCUCAUUAAGUCACAUGUGAAAUCCCCGGGCUUAACCUGGGAACUGCAUGUGAUACUGGUGGUGCUAGAAUAUGUGAGAGGGAAGUAGAAUUCCAGGUGUAGCGGUGAAAUGCGUAGAGAUCUGGAGGAAUACCGAUGGCGAAGGCAGCUUCCUGGCAUAAUAUUGACACUGAGAUUCGAAAGCGUGGGUAGCAAACAGGAUUAGAUACCCUGGUAGUCCACGCCGUAAACGAUGUCUACUAGCCGUUGGGGUCCUUGAGACUUUAGUGGCGCAGUUAACGCGAUAAGUAGACCGCCUGGGGAGUACGGCCGCAAGGUUAAAACUCAAAUGAAUUGACGGGGGCCCGCACAAGCGGUGGAGCAUGUGGUUUAAUUCGAUGCAACGCGAAGAACCUUACCUGGUCUUGACAUAGUGAGAAUCUCUCAGAGAUGAGAGAGUGCCUUCGGGAACUCACAUACAGGUGCUGCAUGGCUGUCGUCAGCUCGUGUCGUGAGAUGUUGGGUUAAGUCCCGCAACGAGCGCAACCCUUUUCCUUAUUUGCCAGCGGGUUAAGCCGGGAACUUUAAGGAUACUGCCAGUGACAAACUGGAGGAAGGCGGGGACGACGUCAAGUCAUCAUGGCCCUUACGACCAGGGCUACACACGUGCUACAAUGGUAGGUACAGAGGGUUGCUACACAGCGAUGUGAUGCUAAUCUCAAAAAGCCUAUCGUAGUCCGGAUUGGAGUCUGCAACUCGACUCCAUGAAGUCGGAAUCGCUAGUAAUCGCGGAUCAGAAUGCCGCGGUGAAUACGUUCCCGGGCCU
rnacentral:rRNA from 1 species